UGAACCCCAGCUUCAGCUCUGCGAGGCAGAUUGCAUCAUCCCCCUCUUUCCAAUUCCAGCUCGGGAUGUUUAGCAGAUGGGCCUGCAGAAACAAAAACAGAUCUGCCUGUUCCCACUGGAUAAUGCUGCUUCCGAACACAAGGCACUGACAGAAGAGAAGAUCAAAGAAAAGAUCAGCUACACCCUCUGGGGAUGAAGACAGAACAGAGGGAGAAGGAGUCCAAGCGAAGAAGCGGUUCUUAAUUCUGCCUGGUAGAGGGGAGGGUCGGGGGACCUCAGAGACCCAGAGUGAACAUUAAAGGCAAAGUGUGCAUUUUCAUAAAGGAAGAAGAGAAAAGAGAAAAAACCAGGGUAAAAGUAGUGAUAAAAGAUGACGGAGAUGGAGCCAG